rnacentral:rRNA from 1 species
UUAACACAUGCAAGUCGAGGGGCAGCAUGGUCUUAGCUUGCUAAGGCCGAUGGCGACCGGCGCACGGGUGAGUAACACGUAUCCAACCUGCCGUCUACUCUUGGACAGCCUUCUGAAAGGAAGAUUAAUACAAGAUGGCAUCAUGAGUCCGCAUGUUCACAUGAUUAAAGGUAUUCCGGUAGACGAUGGGGAUGCGUUCCAUUAGAUAGUAGGCGGGGUAACGGCCCACCUAGUCUUCGAUGGAUAGGGGUUCUGAGAGGAAGGUCCCCCACAUUGGAACUGAGACACGGUCCAAACUCCUACGGGAGGCAGCAGUGAGGAAUAUUGGUCAAUGGGCGAGAGCCUGAACCAGCCAAGUAGCGUGAAGGAUGACUGCCCUAUGGGUUGUAAACUUCUUUUAUAAAGGAAUAAAGUCGGGUAUGGAUACCCGUUUGCAUGUACUUUAUGAAUAAGGAUCGGCUAACUCCGUGCCAGCAGCCGCGGUAAUACGGAGGAUCCGAGCGUUAUCCGGAUUUAUUGGGUUUAAAGGGAGCGUAGAUGGAUGUUUAAGUCAGUUGUGAAAGUUUGCGGCUCAACCGUAAAAUUGCAGUUGAUACUGGAUAUCUUGAGUGCAGUUGAGGCAGGCGGAAUUCGUGGUGUAGCGGUGAAAUGCUUAGAUAUCACGAAGAACUCCGAUUGCGAAGGCAGCCUGCUAAGCUGCAACUGACAUUGAGGCUCGAAAGUGUGGGUAUCAAACAGGAUUAGAUACCCUGGUAGUCCACACGGUAAACGAUGAAUACUCGCUGUUUGCGAUAUACUGCAAGCGGCCAAGCGAAAGCGUUAAGUAUUCCACCUGGGGAGUACGCCGGCAACGGUGAAACUCAAAGGAAUUGACGGGGGCCCGCACAAGCGGAGGAACAUGUGGUUUAAUUCGAUGAUACGCGAGGAACCUUACCCGGGCUUAAAUUGCAGAUGAAUUACGGUGAAAGCCGUAAGCCGCAAGGCAUCUGUGAAGGUGCUGCAUGGUUGUCGUCAGCUCGUGCCGUGAGGUGUCGGCUUAAGUGCCAUAACGAGCGCAACCCUUGUUGUCAGUUACUAACAGGUUCCGCUGAGGACUCUGACAAGACUGCCAUCGUAAGAUGUGAGGAAGGUGGGGAUGACGUCAAAUCAGCACGGCCCUUACGUCCGGGGCUACACACGUGUUACAAUGGGGGGUACAGAGGGCCGCUACCACGCGAGUGGAUGCCAAUCCCCAAAACCUCUCUCAGUUCGGACUGGAGUCUGCAACCCGACUCCACGAAGCUGGAUUCGCUAGUAAUCGCGCAUCAGCCACGGCGCGGUGAAUACGUUCCCGGGCCUUGUACACACCGCCCGUCAAGCCAUGGGAGCCGGGGGUACCUGAAGUGCGUAACCGCAAGGAGCGCCCUAGGGUAAAACUGGUGACUGGGGCUAAGU